rnacentral:rRNA from 1 species
UACGGAGGGUGCAAGCGUUAUCCGGAUUCACUGGGUUUAAAGGGUGCGUAGGCGGGAUGGCAAGUCGGUCGUGAAAUCCUUCGGCUCAACCGAAGAACGUCGGCCGAUACUGCCGUUCUUGAGGGAUGCAGAGGAGAUUGGAAUUCCCGGUGUAGCGGUGAAAUGUGUAGAGAUCGGGAGGAACACCGGUGGCGAAGGCGGGUCUCUGGGCAUCUCCUGACGCUGAGGCGCGAAAGCGUGGGGAGCAAACGGG